AAGCACUCACGUUAGAGACGUGGAACCAGCAGUGUUCUCCAGUGUCUAACCUUCGAGCACUAUUGUGGCAGUAGGGAAGUUUCCCACCCUCCAUAAACACAAAUUCUGUUGCCUUAUAGCAGGUACCAGCGGGUGAUGCUGUUGGACUCGUGUGAGUUCGGUAAUUCACCCUCCCCCAGUGCCAAACCCAGGUCAGCCUGAGGAAGUGCUGCUGACAGCACAGCUGGAGCAGAAGGCAUCAGAUUCAUGGAGAGAGGCUGGAGCACAUCUUUGGGAAGCCAUUGCAACUCUUCAAGUCGAGCUCCUCAGAAACCUCAAGCAACCGCACUUCUGCUGCUUCCCCAAAGGACAAGAAGAGUGGGGAGACCUGAUCCCUCAGAAGGUGCCCAUCUGCAGGAUUUUAACGAGUUGUUCUCAACUCGCCCGGAGUUAACAGUCUCCAUUUUUUCCGGACUAAACCCAAAGCAGCCAUUCAUCAGAGCAUCCGCCGCACUUCCCACACGAACACCCCUCUCCUCGUGAGGAGUCCUCAAAUUCCACACGAGGUCUGAGCAUGAAUAACUGCAGGAGGCGCAAGCAGUGCUGAUUUACAGAACUGCAUCUCUAAGGAAGGAGCCUUUUGUGUACCUCUCCAUUAAAGCCACUUUGACCGAACAGCAGUAGCUACAGCCUUCACUGGGACAGAGAACUCUGGAAGAGCUUUUCAAUGAAGGCCAUGAAGCCCGUGCUCUUUUCCUUAUCCCAAGACUGUUGCAUAUGCACUGCUGGAAUCUUGUCUACAGCUCCUCUGUUCAUGUGGUCAGUACCCUGACCUGGUUGCCAUUCGAAUGAGAGGGGCUUGCCUGCACCCUCUCUGUUGGCAGCUCCCAGUUAACAAGGGGAUUUCCAGUGGGUCUCCUUGGCAGUGAGCACGACACCAACACGUUCUGUUUAUGUCUACGUACACAUCUGAGCGUGUUUCCUGAGCCAGAGAAGACAUUACACUGCCUAAUGGCACAGCUGCACUAGACAGACCUAGACAGAUGCAGCCAGAUGUGAACUCGCUCCAAGUGCAAGCGGGUCCUGGUCCAGAUGUCAGAAGGCCAGUGUGGAUGCAGGACUUGGGGCCCCAGAACCAGCAGGAGAGGUGAGCUCCAUCACACUAAAACUCACCCCUGGCUGGUUUGGAGGCUGGGCACGGGGGUUCGUGCCUGCCUGCGCUGUCCCGAUAAUGGGACUCAGCAGUCAACCAGCCACAGCACUCAGGACCCCCGUUCCUGCUCCCCAGUGCUCUCACAACUUCCCUUUCUCUAGUUUCUGUAAGGCUUUUUGGUAGCCAUGGAAAUCCCCAGGGAAGUUCUGGUUUUAUAACUCAUCUGUACCCUGACAGCAGAGCCCUGCCCUCAGCUUGGAUGCCUGGACAUCUCACAGCACAGCUGAGGAAUACUAACAAAGGCUGAGGGCCACUGGCUUUGUGGUGCAAGUCAGAAAAGGGAGGGAGGUAGAAGAGGCAAAACAGAAUCAGCAACUCGCAGCCUGUCUGUGUUUGGGCUGAAUAAGUGCAAAUUUAAUAUCUUUUCCCCACUCAGCAUAUGUGCUGCAGCCCAUUUCUGUGUUUUAGCACAGGCACAACUAAUUUUUAAUAGCUACCCCGUCUGUUCUCUCUCUAAGCUGUGUAACUGCCUCAGACAGCUCUUCCAGCAGCAGCCAGGCAAACACAGCUGUUAAU